rnacentral:misc_RNA from 1 species
GAGGGUUGAGACACAAGGCAUCUGUGCCGGUCACACAUUGAUGGACCAAGGAUUAAAAAGGUGGAAUUCGGAUAACCCUUGGUCAGGUUAUGAACCGGUUUCAGUUGCAUGGACAGUCGAUGUGCCCGGUGUUCUUACUUACAUCAAAGAACUACUUAUGAAACCAUGAAGGCCAUAUUCUUUGCUCCCUGCCACGACAGCCGAGGAAACUGGAAUUCUCAUUCGAUUGUUCAGAUCUUGUUUGUCCCCUUAAUGUUUAAGUUGCAAACACUUAAUGCAAAAACAGCACAAUUUGGUUCAUAUUCUUUGCUCCCUGCCG